UAGGGAAUCUUCCACAAUGGACGAAAGUCUGAUGGAGCAACGCCGCGUGAGCGAAGAAGGUUUUCGGAUCGUAAAGCUCUGUUGUGAGGGAAGAACAAGUACGGGAGUAACUGCCCGUACCUUGACGGUACCUCAUUAGAAAGCCACGGCUAACUACGUGCCAGCAGCCGCGGUAAUACGUAGGUGGCAAGCGUUGUCCGGAAUUAUUGGGCGUAAAGCGCGCGCAGGCGGUCCUUUAAGUCUGAUGUGAAAGCCCACGGCUCAACCGUGGAGGGUCAUUGGAAACUGGGGGACUUGAGUACAGAAGAGGAAAGCGGAAUUCCACGUGUAGCGGUGAAAUGCGUAGAGAUGUGGAGGAACACCAGUGGCGAAGGCGGCUUUCUGGUCUGUAACUGACGCUGAGGCGCGAAAGCGUGGGGAGCAAACAG
rnacentral:rRNA from 1 species